rnacentral:rRNA from 1 species
GAUGAACGCUAGCGACAGGCUUAACACAUGCAAGUCGAGGGGCAGCGGGGCGGUCAGCUUGCUGAACGCCGCCGGCGACCGGCGCACGGGUGAGUAACACGUAUGCAACCUGCCCGCCACAGGGGAAUAACCGGGAGAAAUCCCGACUAAUACCGCGUAGUCCUGAUUGAGGCAUCUCGAUUGGGGGAAAGCUUCGGCGGUGGCGGAUGGGCAUGCGGCGCAUUAGCUAGUUGGCGGGGUAACGCCCACCAAGGCGACGAUGCGUAGGGGUUCUGAGAGGAA